AAAAUGCGAUACUUGGUGUGAAUUGCAGAAUCCCGUGAACCAUCGAGUUUUUGAACGCAAGUUGCGCCCGAAGCCAUCCGGCUGAGGGCACGCCUGCCUGGGCGUCACGCAUCGCGUCGCUCCCCACCAUACCUCCCCAACGGGUUGGCAUGGUGUUGGGGGCGGAUAAUGGCCUCCCGUGCUUGUGUUUCGGUUGGCCUAAAUAAGAGUUCCCUUCGGCGGACACACGACUAGUGUGGUUGAAUAGACCCUCGUCUUUUGUUGCGUGUCGUGAGCUGUAAGGGUAGCCCUCAUCAAAGACCCCAUUGUAUCGUCUUCGGAUGAUGCUUCGACCGCGACCCCAGGUCAGGCGGGACUACCCGCUGAGUUUAAGC
rnacentral:misc_RNA from 1 species